rnacentral:rRNA from 1 species
CCUACGGGUGGCAGCAGUGGGGAAUAUUGGACAAUGGGGGCAACCCUGAUCCAGCCAUGCCGCGUGUGUGAAGAAGGCCCUCGGGUUGUAAAGCACUUUCAGUGAGGAAGAACGCCUGGUGGUUAAUACCCAUCAGGAAAGACAUCACUCACAGAAGAAGCACCGGCUAACUCCGUGCCAGCAGCCGCGGUAAUACGGAGGGUGCGAGCGUUAAUCGGAAUUACUGGGCGUAAAGCGCGCGUAGGUGGCUUGAUAAGCCGGUUGUGAAAGCCCCGGGCUCAGCCUGGGAACGGCAUCCGGAACUGUCAAGCUAGAGUGCAGGAGAGGAAGGUAGAAUUCCCGGUGUAGCGGUGAAAUGCGUAGAGAUCGGGAGGAAUACCAGUGGCGAAGGCGGCCUUCUGGACUGACACUGACACUGAGGUGCGAAAGCGUGGGUAGCAAACAGGAUUAGAUACCCCGGUAGUC